rnacentral:rRNA from 1 species
GAAAAACAGCAUCAUUGAAGGUGAAAAUCCUGUAAAUGAUAUGGACUACCAGUGCAUUUGUGAUACGGUUUCUAAGAGUCGAGUUGUUUGGGAAUGCAGCUCAAAGUGGGUGGUAAAUUCCAUCUAAGGCUAAAUAUAAGUGAGAGACCGAUAGCAAACAAGUACCGUGAGGGAAAGAUGAAAAGAACUUUGAAAAUAGAGUUAACAGUACGUGAAAUUGCUGAAAGGGAAACGUUUGAAGUUAGUAUUGUAUUCGUUGGAUCAGCUUCGCAAGAGGUCUAUUCCGAUGAUAAGCAAGUCAACAUCAGUCUAUGAGUGUUGGAAAAAGGGCUCGAGAAUGUAGCAAUUUAAUUGUGUUAUAGCUUGGGACUUUGAAUACAACGCUCUUGAUUGAGGAACGCGUAGUAAGCUUUGAGCGGGUUCGAAAGAGCCUCCUUACUAUGGAUGUUGGUGAAAUAACUUUAAGCGACCCGUCUUGAAACACGGACCAAGGAGUCUAACAUGCUUGCGAGUAUUAGGGCGUUGAAACCCGAAUGCGUAAUGAAAGUGAUUUCAGAUGUGAUCCGCAAGGUGCAACAUCGGCCGGUCCUGAUUAUUUAUAUGACGGUACUGAGCAAGAGCAAGUAUGUUAGGACCCGAAAGAUGGUGAACUAUGCCUGGAUAGGGUGAAGUCAGAGGAAACUCUGAUGGAAGCUCGUAGCGGUUCUGACGUGCAAAUCGAUCGUAGAAUCUGGGUAUAGGGGCGAAAGACUAAUCGAACCAUCUAGUAGCUGGUUCC